UGGGGAAUUUUGGACAAUGGGGGAAACCCUGAUCCAGCCAUCCCGCGUGUGCGAUGAAGGCCUUCGGGUUGUAAAGCACUUUUGGCAGGAAAGAAACGUCAUGGGUUAAUACCCCGUGAAACUGACGGUACCUGCAGAAUAAGCACCGGCUAACUACGUGCCAGCAGCCGCGGUAAUACGUAGGGUGCAAGCGUUAAUCGGAAUUACUGGGCGUAAAGCGUGCGCAGGCGGUUCGGAAAGAAAGAUGUGAAAUCCCAGAGCUCAACUUUGGAACUGCAUUUUUAACUACCGGGCUAGAGUGUGUCAGAGGGAGGUGGAAUUCCGCGUGUAGCAGUGAAAUGCGUAGAUAUGCGGAGGAACACCGAUGGCGAAGGCAGCCUCCUGGGAUAUCACUGACGCUCAUGCACGAAAGCGUGGGGAGCAAACAGG
rnacentral:rRNA from 1 species